rnacentral:rRNA from 1 species
UCAGGGACGAAAGCCAGGGGAGCGAAAGGGAUUAGAUACCCCUGUAGUCCUGGCCGUAAACGAUGAACACUAGGUGUCGGGGGAAUCGACCCCCUCGGUGUCGUAGCCAACGCGUUAAGUGUUCCGCCUGGGGAGUACGCACGCAAGUGUGAAACUCAAAGGAAUUGACGGGGGCCCGCACAAGCGGUGGAGUAUGUGGUUUAAUUCGAUGCAACGCGAAGAACCUUACCAGGGUUUGACAUCCUGCGAAUCUUUUGGAAACCAAAGAGUGCCUUCGGGAGCGCAGAGACAGGUGGUGCAUGGCUGUCGUCAGCUCGUGUCGUGAGAUGUUGGGUUAAGUCCCGCAACGAGCGCAACCCACGUCUUUAGUUGCCAGCAUUGAGUUGGGCACUCUAGAGAGACCGCCGGUGAUAAACCGGAGGAAGGUGUGGAUGACGUCAAGUCAUCAUGCCCCUUACAUCCUGGGCUACACACGUACUACAAUGCUACGGACAGAGGGCAGCAAACUCGCGAGAGCUAGCAAAUCCCAUAAACCGUGGCUCAGUUCAGAUCGUAGGCUGCAACUCGCCUACGUGAAGGAGGAAUCGCUAGUAAUCGCAGGUCAGCAUACUGCGGUGAAUACGUUCCCGGGCCUUGUACACACCGCCCGUCACACCAUGGAAGUUGGCCAUGCCCGAAGUCGUUACUCCAACCCUUGUGGAGGAGGACGCCGAAGGUGGGGCUGAUGACUGGGGUGAA